rnacentral:lncRNA from 1 species
UUUUGCGACCCACCCUGCUUUCUAUAUAACUGUGGGAGAUGACCUCCUCUCAAGGAAAAGUAGAUCUCAGAUCUUUCUAACCACACCAGCUACAUAAAGUACACAAUAAAUGAAUCAAAAAUAAGACUUAAUUUCAUUUAGUCUAACAUCCUCACAUUAAGACCUCUAUCAUAAAGUUUAAAGAUCUUCAACUUCACCAAUCCAUACUGCACAUCCCCCUAAAUGUUUUUACAAACUUUUUUGAUUACAGUUCUCAAUUAAAAAAAAAAAGUUAUAUCUCAACACAAUACACAAUACUUACACAACAAAAUUUACCACUCCAAAUUUUUACAAUGUAUUAAGUUUCUACUUCUAAUCAACAACUACAGAUAGUUUAUUAGCUUAAAAUGUGAAACAUGCUCUCAGCUGAUAAUUAGAUAAUAAUACUCUAUUGGCAAAUACAAGAAUAGAGUCUAUAGUGAAUACAUAUACCAUCAAUUUAUAACAAGUCUGAAACCAACUUGCUCAACCCACUAUCUUCACACCAAGUAGUCUACUCAUCUGA